rnacentral:rRNA from 1 species
CGGGAAAAGCUCAAAUUUAAAAUCUGGUGGUCUUUGGCCAUCCGAGUUGUAAUUUAGAGAAGCGUCUUCCGCGCUGGACCGUGCACAAGUCUCCUGGAAUGGAGCGUCAUAGAGGGUGAGAAUCCCGUCUUUGGCACGGACCCCCAGGGCUUCUGUGAUGCGCUCCUCGACGAGUCGAGUUGUUUGGGAAUGCAGCUCAAAAUGGGUGGUGAACUCCAUCUAAAGCUAAAUAUUGGCGAGAGACCGAUAGCGAACAAGUACCGUGAGGGAAAAGAUGAAAAGCACUUUGGAAAGAGAGUGAAACAGUACGUGAAAUUGUUGAAAGGGAAACGCUUGAAGUCAGUCGCGUCGACCGAGACUCAGCCUUGCCUCGGCUUGGUGUACUUCUCGGCUGACGGGUCAGCAUCAAUUUUGAUCCUUGGAUAAUGGCAAGGGAAAUGUGACACCUUUAUGGUGUGUUAUAGUCCUCUGUCGCAUGCAAGGAUUAGGAUUGAGGAACUCAGCACGCGCCUUUGGGUGUCGGGGCCUUGCCCACGAUACGUGCUUAGGAUGCUGGCAUAAUGGCUUUAAACGACCCGUCUUGAAACACGGACCAAGGAGUCUAACAUACCCGCGAGUGUUCGGGUGGAAAACCCGUGCGCGUAAUGAAAGUGAAAGUUGGGACCUCUGUCGUGGAGGGCACCGACGCCCGGACCAGACCUUCUGUGACGGAUCUGCGGUAGAGCGUGUAUGUUGGGACCCGAAAGAUGGUGAACUAUGCCUGAAUAGGGUGAAGCCAGAGGAAACUCUGGUGGAGGCUCGUAGCGAUUCUGACGUGCAAAUCGAUCGUC